AUGGCGGCGCCGACCCAUCCCUGGCGCUGGAUGCGGCGACCUCCGGCAGAGGCGCGCCCGGCCGCGCCUUCCCCAGCACAGUCGCGCCGGGCUGCCUCCGCUCCUCCGGCAGCGCCGGGCCCGUCCGCCGCAGCUGCCCGCCGGCGAGGGCACAAUCGGCGCCGACCUGCACGCGCAAGGGGAGGCGGCAGGAGCAGUCGUGCAAGGGCAGGACCAGCCGUGCGGUCAAUCGAGCGAUCCUUUUUCAUCUUGGCCGCCAUGUCCCCCGCCGUCGACGACGCCCGCUGUGGCGAUCUCCGCCCUGGCGACCAGCUCUACCUCGCCUGCCAAAUCAAAUCUAGGAACUAA
rnacentral:rRNA from 1 species